CAGCCGCCGCGGGAAUACGUAGGGUGCAAGCGUUAAUCGGAAUUACUGGGCGUAAAGCGUGCGCAGGCGGUUAUAUAAGUCAGAUGUGAAAUCCCCGGGCUCAACCUGGGAACUGCAUUUGAGACUGUAUGGCUAGAGUGUGUCAGAGGGGGGUAGAAUUCCACGUGUAGCAGUGAAAUGCGUAGAUAUGUGGAGGAAUACCGAUGGCGAAGGCAGCCCCCUGGGAUAACACUGACGCUCAUGCACGAAAGCGUGGGGAGCAAACAGGAUUAGAUACCCCAGUAGUCCCUGUCUCUUAUAA
rnacentral:rRNA from 1 species